UUGGAGGGCAAGUCUGGUGCCAGCAGCCGCGGUAAUUCCAGCUCCAAUAGCGUAUAUUAAAGUUGUUGCAGUUAAAAAGCUCGUAGUUGAAUUUCGGGAUCAGAGUGUCGGUCGUGCCUCGGUACGCACUGGUAUCAUUGGUUCCUACCUUCUGAAGAACCGCGAUGUCAUUAAUUUGGUGUCGUGGGGAAUCAGGACUGUUACUUUGAAAAAAUUAGAGUGUUUAAAGCAGGCUUACGCUUGAAUACAUUAGCAUGGAAUAAUGAAAUAGGACGUUUGAUUCUAUUUUGUUGGUUUCUAGGAUUGACGUAAUGAUUAAUAGGGAUAGUUGGGGGCAUUAGUAUUCAAUUGUCAGAGGUGAAAUUCUUGGAUUUAUUGAAGACUAACUACUGCGAAAGCAUUUGCCAAGGAUGUUUUCAUUAAUCAAGAACGAAAGUUAGGGGAUCGAAGACGAUCAGAUACCGUCGUAGUCUUAACCAUAAACUAUGCCGACUAGGGAUCGGAUGAUGUUAAUUUUUUAAUGACUCAUUCGGCGCCUUACGGGAAACCAAAGUGUUUGGGUUC
rnacentral:rRNA from 1 species